UACGGGGGGAGCAAGCGUUGUUCGGAUUUACUGGGCGUAAAGGGCGCGUAGGCGGCCACCGCAAGUCAACUGUGAAAUCUCCGGGCUUAACCCGGAAAGGUCAGCCGAUACUGCGGGGCUAGAGUGCAGAAGGGGCAACUGGAAUUCUCGGUGUAGCGGUGAAAUGCGUAGAUAUCGAGAGGAACACCUGCGGCGAAGGCGGGUUGCUGGGCUGACACUGACGCUGAUGUGCGAAAGCUAGGGGAGCGAACGGG
rnacentral:rRNA from 1 species